UGCCAGUCGAACGAUGAAGGAGGAGCUUGCUCCUCUGGAUUAGUGGCGAACGGGUGAGUAACACGUGAGCAAUCUGCCCUUGACUCUGGGAUAAGCGCUGGAAACGGCGUCUAAUACCGGAUGCGACCCUCGGAGGCAUCUCCUGUGGGUGGAAAGAACUUCGGUCAAGGAUGAGCUCGCGGCCUAUCAGCUUGUUGGUGAGGUAACGGCUCACCAAGGCGACGACGGGUAGCCGGCCUGAGAGGGUGACCGGCCACACUGGGACUGAGACACGGCCCAGACUCCUACGGGAGGCAGCAGUGGGGAAUAUUGCACAAUGGGCGCAAGCCUGAUGCAGCAACGCCGCGUGAGGGACGACGGCCUUCGGGUUGUAAACCUCUUUUAGCAGGGAAGAAGCGAGAGUGACGGUACCUGCAGAAAAAGCACCGGCUAACUACGUGCCAGCAGCCGCGGUAAUACGUAGGGUGCAAGCGUUGUCCGGAAUUAUUGGGCGUAAAGAGCUCGUAGGCGGUCUGUCGCGUCUGCUGUGAAAACCCGAGGCUCAACCUCGGGCUUGCAGUGGGUACGGGCAGACUAGAGUGCGGUAGGGGAGAUUGGAAUUCCUGGUGUAGCGGUGGAAUGCGCAGAUAUCAGGAGGAACACCGAUGGCGAAGGCAGAUCUCUGGGCCGUAACUGACGCUGAGGAGCGAAAGCGUUGGGGAGCAAACAAGGCUUAGAUACCCUGGUAGUCCACGCCGUAAAACGUUGGGGAACUAGAUGUGGGGACCAUUCCAACGUUCUCCGUGUCGUAGCUAACGCAUUAAGUUUCCCGCCUGGGGGAGGUACGGCCGCCAAAGCCUAAAACUCAAAGGAAUUGACGGGGGCCCGCCACAAGCGGCGGAGCAUGCGGAUUAUUUCGAUGCCAACGCGAAGAAUCUUUACCAGGCUUUGACAUA
rnacentral:rRNA from 1 species